rnacentral:rRNA from 1 species
UACGGAAGGCAGCAGUGGGGAAUAUUGCACAAUGGGCGCAAGCCUGAUGCAGCCAUGCCGCGUGUAUGAAGAAGGCCUUCGGGUUGUAAAGUACUUUCAGUCGUGAGGAAGGUGUUAAGGUUAAUAACCUUAGCAAUUGACGUUAGCGACAGAAGAAGCACCGGCUAACUCCGUGCCAGCAGCCGCGGUAAUACGGGAGGGUGCGAGCGUUAAUCGGAAUUACUGGGCGUAAAGGGCACGCAGGCGGUUAAUUAAGUUGGAUGUGAAAUCCCCGGGCUUAACCUGGGAAUGGCAUUCAAGACUGGUUAGCUAGAGUCUUGUAGAGGGGGUAGAAUUCCAUGUGUAGCGGUGAAAUGCGUAGAGAUGUGGAGGAAAUACCGGUGGCGAAGGCGGCCCCUGGACAAAGACUGACGCUCAUGUGCGAAAGCGUGGGGAGCAAACAGGGAUUAGAUACC